ACUGCUCAGUAACACGUGGGUAACCUGCCUUACACAGGGGGAUAGCCUUCCGAAAGGAGGAUUAAUACCGCAUAAGAAGUAGAUAUCACAUGGUAUCAGCUUUAAAGGAGUAAUCCGGUGUAAGAUGGACCCGCGGCGCAUUAGCUAGUUGGUGAGGUAAUGGCUCACCAAGGCGACGAUGCGUAGCCGACCUGAGAGGGUGAUCGGCCACAUUGGAACUGAGAGACGGUCCAGACUCCUACGGGAGGCAGCAGUGGGGAAUAUUGCACAAUGGAAGAAACUCUGAUGCAGCAACGCCGCGUGAGUGACGAAGACCUUCGGGUUGUAAAGCUCUGUCAUCUGGGACGAUAAUGACGGUACCAGAGGAGGAAGCCACGGCUAACUACGUGCCAGCAGCCGCGGUAAUACGUAGGUGGCGAGCGUUGUCCGGAAUUACUGGGCGUAAAGGAUGCGUAGGUGGGAAUUUAAGUCAGAUGUGAAAUACCCGAGCUUAACUUGGGCACUGCAUUUGAAACUGAAUUUCUUGAGUGCAGGAGAGGAAAGCGGAAUUCCUAGUGUAGCGGUGAAAUGCGUAGAGAUUAGGAAGAACACCAGUGGCGAAGGCGGCUUUCUGGACUGUAACUGACACUGAGGCAUGAAAGCGUGGGGAGCAAACAGGAUUAGAUACCCUGGUAGUCCACGCUGUAAACGAUGGGUACUAGGUGUGGGAGGUAUCGACUCCUUCCGUGCCGCAGUUAACACAAUAAGUACCCCGCCUGGGGAGUACGAUCGCAAGAUUAAAACUCAAAGGAAUUGGCGGGGGAGCAC
rnacentral:rRNA from 1 species